GAUUAGGUGGCUCGUGCAGAGGGCCUGCGGCUCCCCACGAGGCCGUUUGGAGUCUUUCGAGCUUCGGCCCUGUCGGACUCAGGCUGCGGAACGUUCCCGCUUCUGGAAAUGCCUGGCGUCUCGGCUGUCACUGAACCUGACCAGGUGGUUCUGUGCCAGGCAGCCGAGACCUGUAGAGGGAGCCUCCGUGGUGGAGCAUUUUAGCUCAGUUUCAAACUUCAGACAGUAACCUUUUUGGUUUCCUUGUACCUACUGCUAAAAGUGUUGAGGCUAAAGUUUUCUUCGGAAGAUGCAAGGCAUUUUUUUUUUUUUGAGACAGGGUCUCACUGAGCACCUAGCUGGGCUUGAACUCGGGCUUCAUCAGCUUUCUCUUUGCCAGGAUUAUAGAAAAAGAGAGACAGAGAAUCUUCCACUGUAUUGUUGGUGAGGGCAUAAACAUCUACCCCCACCUCUUCUCAGCCCUGAUGAAUGGACGGAAUAUACAGAUAUAGAAGACCCCAGGACAUCUGUGUGAGCAGUGAGAUGGUGAUUUGAGGAAGAUGCA